AGAGGGUGCGAGCGUUGUCCGGAAUCACUGGGCGUAAAGGGCGCGUAGGCGGCUUCUUAAGCGUGUGGUGAAAGCGCGGGGCUCAACCCCGCGUCGGCCAUGCGGACUGGGAGGCUGGAGCAUGUCAGAGGCAGGCGGAAUUCCGGGUGUAGCGGUGGAAUGCGUAGAGAUCCGGAAGAACACCGGUGGCGAAGGCGGCCUGCUGGGACAUGGCUGACGCUGAGGCGCGACAGCGUGGGGAGCAAACAGGAUUAGAUACCCUGGUAGUCCACGCCGUAAACGAUGGGUACUAGGUGCUUGGGGGAGCGACCCCCUGGGUGCCGGCGCUAACGCAUUAAGUACCCCGCCUGGGGAGUACGGCCGCAAGGCUG
rnacentral:rRNA from 1 species